rnacentral:rRNA from 1 species
UACGUAUGGGGCGAGCGUUGUCCGGAUUUAUUGGGCGUAAAGAGCUCGUAGGCGGCUCGGUAAGUUGGGUGUGAAACCUCCAGGCUCAACCUGGAGACGCCACCCGAUACUGCCGUGGCUUGAGUCCGGUAGGGGAUCACGGAAUACCUGGUGUAGCGGUGAAAUGCGCAGAUAUCAGGUGGAACACCAGUGGCGAAGGCGGUGAUCUGGGCCGGUACUGACGCUGAGACGCGAAAGCGUGGGGAGCGAACGGG